GAGAAACACACAUCCAUCCAUUGACGAGCAACCCUUCAUCCGCAUUCAUUCAUAGCAAUAUUCACACACAUUCCUCACACAUUCAACGACACAGCCAUCGAGCAAUUCACUCACCAUCAACACACACAUAUGCAGAGAUCGAUAUCAAAAGCAGCUCUUCUAUUCCUCAUCUGAUCGAUUUGCACAAGCGGCGCAGACGCAGCCUCAUCGGAGUAGCCAGGCGGGACCAGCUCGACGGGAGGAGACCUCACCGACAACAAGAGGCAGCAUCAGAUCAUGGGCAUCAACAACCUCUGUACCAUGGGAGGCAAGCCGCCGUUUUUCUACGUCGUCAUGACCGGCCGAAUGACCUCGUCGCGCUACCUCGCCGGAGCAUGUUGUCACGGCAUCGUGAAUGUCGUCGAGUCGUGCCCGACUGAGGAGGUCUCGUCGGAGUCGUCGGAAACGUCGCCAAGUCUCCCGCGUCUACAUCAACCAAACACAUCAUUGGGCGAUGGAGAUUGUCGCACUGCCCUCGGAGCCAUGGUGCUGCCCUCGUCGGAGUCGCCGUGCCAAUCAUCUGAUCGACAUCAUCCAGUCGAGUCGCUGGUGAUGACACUACUCGUUGCUGUGAUCUCAUCGCCGACGUCCGCCGGCCAUCUUCGGUGGUGUUACCAUCUUCCUCACACUCGUCGUUGAGCCGCGUGACGAGAAUGCCAAUCGAAGCGCCGCUAGCUGCUCGGUGCCCGCAUCGUCACGCUGGGGUUGCUAAGCCGUUCGUGAUGCUGUGAAGCCAUCCCUUCAUCACACCGGAGCACCAUCGCUUGGUGCCCGCACACCGUCGUCAAGUUCAUCUGCGAUGCUUUCACCUCGUCAAGCCAGAGUCAUCGUGCCGUCCGUCCGUGUCUCCUUUUAUCUAUAGUAACAUGAUGAGAUGCCAUCUGUCUACAACGCUUCCACUUCGUCAUGGCGAGAUCGAUGCUGUCCGUCCAUGAUGCACUCUCUCUUCAUCACGCCAAGAUGAGAUGUUGUCCGUCCGUGAUUCUCUCCCUCUUCAUCGAGAUCAAUAUGCCGCCGCUUGUUUGUGUAUUGGAGCGUCGCUCGUCUAUAUCAACAUGAAGAAAGAAUAGUGCCGUCUGUGAUGCCAAUGUACCGUUCGUGUUAGAUCUACACCAACCAAUGUCCUCGGCUAUUCCGCCGAUGAGGCAUUUACUUCUUCCAAGGUCGCCGUUACUAUCGGCACACUCAUAGAGCCCCUUUUGCAGGCUCGUCAUCAUAUCAACCGGAUCAAUAGUAGAUUCAUCAUCCGAAGGAGGUGCCAAAGCCACGUUUGUUCGGUUAUUGUCUGCACCAACUUCUUCAUCAACAUCUUCGUUACAAGUCCCUGUUGUAUAAGGGACAUGACGAGUCAGGAGGUGCUUAGCCAUGGAUAUCCGGCUGCCAUCUACACCAACUGUCAUCGUCAACUCUUUGUUACUUUGAUCCCAUCAAGUCAGGAGGUGCCCAGCCAUGGAUAUUCGGCUGUUGUGUACACCAACUGACUUGACCAACUCCUCUUCCCUUUAACACCAUCCUGAUGUCGUUGCUGAUCCAAGCGACACGAGAUCUAUGCAUGUUGAAGAUCAAUCCAUCUACUCCACCACGUUGCUCAAGACUGAUGAGGCGGAGCGACGAGGGUGGGCGGAGCCUAUAUGAAGGCUACAUCACCAACACCGGCGCACGGACCGAUGAGGCCGCGGAUGCGUUGCCGGCGCCUAGAUAUAUAUCCACAAUCUUCACCAACAUUCAUCGUGCAUGGAGAACGUGAAGCGAAGACGACGAGACGACCACAUGCAGCUUAAUCGGAGGUGCUCUGUAGGCCUAAACCUGUGGCAGUAAUUAACUAGGAGUCUUUCGAGACCCCAGGAAUUAGAAGACCACUUAUCCAAGUUUAGAUUUGUCCAACGACAGGCUAUGGAGCGCACAUACAUAUAUACAUAUAUAUUACAUUGGGAAUUUGUAUUUAUGAUCCUUGAGAUUAAUAAAGCACAUGUUCCCUA